rnacentral:rRNA from 1 species
GGGCGAUGUUUGAUCCUGGCUCAGAGCGAACGCUGGCGGCAGGCUUAACACAUGCAAGUCGAGCGCCCGUAGCAAUACGGGAGCGGCAGACGGGAGAGUAACACGUGGGAACGCGCCCUUCGGUUCGGAAUAACUCAGGGAAACUUGGGCUAAUACCGGAUACGCCGGAAACGGGAAAGAUUUAUUGCCGAAGGAUCGGCCCGCGUCGGAUUAGCUAGUUGGUGAGGUAAUGGCUCACCAAGGCGACGAUCCGUAGCUGGUCUGAGAGGAUGAUCAGCCACACUGGGACUGAGAUACGGCCCAGACUCCUACGGGAGGCAGCAGUGGGGAAUAUUGGACAAUGGGCGAAAGCCUGAUCCAGCCAUGCCGCGUGAGUGAAGAAGGCCCUAGGGUUGUAAAGCUCUUUCAGCGGGGAAGAUAAUGACGGUACCCGCAGAAGAAGCCCCGGCUAACUUCGUGCCAGCAGCCGCGGUAAUA